GACCCUCCCUCCCAGACCCUCCCACCUCCUGGACAGCUCACUAAGAAUGCAGAUUCAAAAUGGAUGCUGUCCAGGAGGUGGGAGGGUCUGGGAGGGAGGGUC
rnacentral:miRNA from 1 species